UGGGGAAUAUUGCACAAUGGGGGAAAGCCCUGAUGCAGCGACGCCGCGUGAGUGAAGAAGUAUUUCGGUAUGUAAAGCUCUAUCAGCAGGGAAGAAGAAAGACGGUACCUGACUAAGAAGCCCCGGCUAACUACGUGCCAGCAGCCGCGGUAAUACGUAGGGGGCAAGCGUUAUCCGGAUUUACUGGGUGUAAAGGGAGCGUAGACGGCGGAGCAAGUCUGAAGUGAAAGCCCCGGGCUUAACCCGGGAACUGCUUUGGAAACUGUACUGCUGGAGUGCUGGAGAGGUAAGCGGAAUUCCUAGUGUAGCGGUGAAAUGCUUAGAUAUUGCGCAGAACUCCGAUUGCGAAGGCAGCGUACUGGCGCCUGACUGACGCUGAGGCACGAAAGCGUGGGGAUCGAACAGGAUUAGAUACCC
rnacentral:rRNA from 1 species